rnacentral:rRNA from 1 species
AUUGAACGCUGGCGGCAUGCUUUACACAUGCAAGUCGAACGGUAACAGGCCUUCGGGUGCUGACGAGUGGCGGACGGGUGAGUAAUGCAUCGGAACGUACCCAGAGGUGGGGGAUAACGCAGCGAAAGCUGUGCUAAUACCGCAUGUGAUCUGAGGAUGAAAGCGGGGGACCGAGCAGCAAUGUUUGGCCUCGCGCCUUUGGAGCGGCCGAUGUCGGAUUAGCUAGUUGGUGGGGUAAAGGCCUACCAAGGCGACGAUCCGUAGCUGGUCUGAGAGGACGACCAGCCACACUGGGACUGAGACACGGCCCAGACUCCUACGGGAGGCAGCAGUGGGGAAUUUUGGACAAUGGGCGCAAGCCUGAUCCAGCAAUGCCGCGUGCGGGAAGAAGGCCUUCGGGUUGUAAACCGCUUUUGGCAGGAACGAAACGGUGUCCGCUAAUACCGGGCGCUAAUGACGGUACCUGCAGAAUAAGCACCGGCUAACUACGUG